CAAUAGCGUAUAUUAAAGUUGUUGCGGUUAAAAAGCUCGUAGUUGGAGUUCUGCCAGGUGACACUCGUCCGCCCAAGUGGUGUGUACAGGGUGUGCAUCUGGCCCUUUCAAGGGGAACGUGUCUGCACUUCAUUGUGUGGUGCGAGAUCCUUGACUUUUACUUUGAGGAAAUAAGAGUGUUCCAAGCAGGCUCUCGUCGUGCAUAGCUCAGCAUGGAAUAAUAGCAUUGGACUUCGUUUCUACGCUGUUGGUUGCAAGAAGCGAGGUAAUGAUGAAGAGGGAUAGUUGGGGGCAUUCGUAUUUAACUGUCAGAGGUGAAAUUCUCGGAUUUGUUAAAGACGGACUACUGCGAAAGCAUCUGCCAUGGAUGUUUUCAUUGA
rnacentral:rRNA from 1 species